rnacentral:lncRNA from 1 species
CUUAUGUCUGUGUCUCUGCAGUAUGUUUCAUGGAGAGUCUGAGUGACAGCAACCAUGAUGAAAGUGAUACAGGUAAGAACAGCUCUCAGGUAGGAGCCAAUGGGAGAGGGAUCCCGGGACACUUGGGUGACGCCUGCUGCUUGGAGUGUGGGGCAGGUGAGUCUGAAACUUAAAAACAGAAAGAAAUUGAUGUAAAGAUGUUCACCGCCUACUUUAAUAAGGAGAGGGAGCAGAUAUGAGAUGCCUGAAUGUUGGCAUCUGUGCUCACCUUGUGUGGAAGGGUCUCAGUCCAUGGAGCAGAGGGAAGGUCUGGGCACCUGGAGGAAAAACCAGGGUGAUGCUCUGUACCCGUAGUCACCUCAGGGAAGCCGGAGAAACGGGAGGGCCACUCUUUCUAACUCCUUGAUUCCCCUGAUGGUGUGUUUCUACAGACUCAGUGGUGGAGAGCCUGAGCAGCCGCCAGGAUGAGGAGGCUGCAGGUGGACGGGAUGGACGAUGAAAGCCUAUGUUUCAUGGAGAGUCUGAGUGACAGCAACCAUGAUGAAAGUGAUACAGGUAAGAACAGCUCUCAGGUAGGAGCCAAUGGGAGAGGGAUCCCGGGACACUUGGGUGACGCCUGCUGCUUGGAGUGUGGGGCAGGUGAGUCUGAAACUUAAAAACAGAAAGAAAUUGAUGUAAAGAUGUUCACCGCCUACUUUAAUAAGGAGAGGGAGCAGAUAUGAGAUGCCUGAAUGUUGGCAUCUGUGCUCACCUUGUGUGGAAGGGUCUCAGUCCAUGGAGCAGAGGGAAGGUCUGGGCACCUGGAGGAAAAACCAGGGUGAUGCUCUGUACCCGUAGUCACCUCAGGGAAGCCGGAGAAACGGGAGGGCCACUCUUUCUAACUCCUUGAUUCCCCUGAUGGUGUGUUUCUACAGACUCAGUGGUGGAGAGCCUGAGCAGCCGCCAGGAUGAGGAGGCUGCAGGUAGGGAAGAGCACAGCUGGGAUCCAGUGGGAGAGGGUUCCUGGGAGCACCUGGGUUCCGCCUGCUGCCGGGAGAGGGAGGAAGUGGGGGAUAGGACU